GCCUGGCUAGCUCAGCUGAUAGAGCAUCAGACUUUUAAUCUGAGGGUCCAGGGUUUAAGUCCCUGCUCAGGUG
rnacentral:tRNA from 1 species